CCACAUUGGGACUGAGAUACGGCCCAGACUCCUACGGGAGGCAGCAGUGGGGAAUAUUGCACAAUGGGCGCAAGCCUGAUGCAGCGACGCCGCGUGCGGGAUGACGGCCUUCGGGUUGUAAACCGCUUUUGAUCGGGAGCAAGCCUUCGGGUGAGUGUACCUUUCGAAUAAGCACCGGCUAACUACGUGCCAGCAGCCGCGGUAAUACGUAGGGUGCAAGCGUUAUCCGGAAUUAUUGGGCGUAAAGGGCUCGUAGGCGGUUCGUCGCGUCCGGUGUGAAAGUCCAUCGCUUAACGGUGGAUCUGCGCCGGGUACGGGCGGGCUGGAGUGCGGUAGGGGAGACUGGAAUUCCCGGUGUAACGGUGGAAUGUGUAGAUAUCGGGAAGAACACCAAUGGCGAAGGCAGGUCUCUGGGCCGUUACUGACGCUGAGGAGCGAAAGCGUGGGGAGCGAACAGGAUUAGAUACCCUGGUAGUCCACGCCGUAAACGGUGGAUGCUGGAUGUGGGGCCCGUUCCACGGGUUCCGUGUCGGAGCUAACGCGUUAAGCAUCCCGCCUGGGGAGUACGGCCGCAAGGCUAAAACUCAAAGAAAUUGACGGGGGCCCGCACAAGCGGCGGAGCAUGCGGAUUAAUUCGAUGCAACGCGAAGAACCUUACCUGGGCUUGACAUGUUCCCGACAGCCGUAGAGAUACGGCCUCCCUUCGGGGCGGGUUCACAGGUGGUGCAUGGUCGUCGUCAGCUCGUGUCGUGAGAUGUUGGGUUAAGUCCCGCAACGAGCGCAACCCUCGCCCUGUGUUGCCAGCACGUCAUGGUGGGAACUCACGGGGGACCGCCGGGGUCAACUCGGAGGAAGGUGGGGAUGACGUCAGAUCAUCAUGCCCCUUACGUCCAGGGCUUCACGCAUGCUACAAUGGCCGGUACAACGGGAUGCGACACGGCGACGUGGAGCGGAUCCCUGAAAACCGGUCUCAGUUCGGAUUGGAGUCUGCAACCCGACUCCAUGAAGGCGGAGUCGCUAGUAAUCGCGGAUCAGCAACGCCGCGGUGAAUGCGUUCCCGGGCCUUGUACACACCGCCCGUCAAGUCAUGAAAGUGGGUAGCACCCGAAGCCGGUGGCCUAACCCUUCGUGGGAUGGAGCCGUCUAAGGUGAGACUCGUGAUUGGGACUAAGUCGUAACAAGGUAGCCGUACCGGAAGGUGCGGCUG
rnacentral:rRNA from 1 species